UUUUCUGUUGCAAAGAAAUCUAGUAUAAUAAUAUUUAAAUUUACAUAUAUAUCUUUCACGUUUUCAAUGCCAAUUUUGUGUAUUACCGGAGUUUCCCACUACCCGUGAAUGCCUCUUUUUUUACGUCGCCGGCUCACUCCUGCAUCUCCGCCCACUCUCUGCUCGAUCCUUGCAGAGUGAAAGAGAUCUUUGGUUUUGCCUUUGCUGACUGCUGAUCUGAUCGUCUCAAGUCUGGUGACCUGCUGCAGAAGAUCCUCUCUCUCUAUCAUUAUAAGCAAUUCUGUCUAUCCUAUCACUCUCCCGACUCUAUCUAAUUUGACAGCCAUUCUAUCUUGUAUCCCUCUAUCCCUACUGCUCUAUCUAAUUUGACAGCCAUUCUAUCUUGUAUCCCUCUAUCCCUACUGCUCUAUCUAAUUUGACAGCCAUUCUAUCUUGUAUCCCUCUAUCCCUACUGCUCUAUCUAAUUUGACAGCCAUUCUAUCUUGUAUCCCUCUAUCCCAAGCGCUCUAUCUAAUUUCAGAAUCCAAGUUUUCAGAAAUCCAAGUUUUCAGAAUCCAAGUUUUCAGAAAUCCAAGUACCAGUACUUGAUCUAUCUGUUUUUCAGAAUUCUGAGAGAUCUCUGCUCUCACUACUCCUUCUUUCCUGUCAUUAAGCUCUCACAUUCAGUCAUUUUGCUAGAAAUUACAAUUAGAAAGUUGAAUAUACAGUAGUAGAAUUGCAGUACAGUAGAACUUAUAGUAGAAACUACUUAUACAGCCCUACAUUUGUAGUUUUAACUUGGCAUUACACUUUGGAAUAAACACUGAUAGUUUGGCUUACUGGUGCAAUUACUUUGAUACAUUAUAUAAAAUAUACACCUUUUAUAAGGUUUAUUUGUAAUAAGAUAAUCUGACUAUUCUGUAAUAUAUUCAGAGUGCUAUAUUCACAUAAAUAUUAAAUUUGAUUCAAAUACA